UGCCUGUGCAUAUGUGGCCAGCAGGCCGUGCAUGGCGACCCGGCCGCUAUUUAAAAGUUUAUUCUUGCGGUGGCGGCGGCUAGCUGACCUGCUCGCCGAUAAGGUCGAGGCCGACGGCGAGGAACGUGACGCCCUGGAAGAGCAGGAAGUAGAAGUGCAGCCCCUGCUUGGAGAGCAGGCUCCGUGUGGCGGCCGUGAGGAGGAGGCACGCAAGCGCGAGCUCCUUCUUGAAGAUCCGGUUGGGCUUCUUGGUCUUCCUGGUCAUCUUGGGCGUGGCCGGCGCAGCGGCGGCCAGAGCCGCAGCAGCUUCCUCCUUGUUGGCCCACUCGGCGGUCUCCUGCUCCCUGAGCCUGCUCCACUCCUGGAGGCCACCCUCCGAGACCCGGCGCACGAGCUUGGCCGGCGGCGGCAGCGGCGCGUGGGAGUCGGCCUCGGCGAGCGCUAGGAUAUCGGACGCGGACGAGGUGCGGCCCGCCUUCUUGGUGACGAUCCACUCGUAGGAGCUCCCCAGCUGGAAUAGCCCGGACACCAUGGCGUUGAACUUGGUGACGGACAUG
rnacentral:misc_RNA from 1 species